CGAGGAAAGGGCAACGGUGGACCCACGGACUCUGACUUCGUUGGUGCUGGUUCGAAUCCAGGCUUCCCUAGCCA
rnacentral:tRNA from 1 species